rnacentral:rRNA from 1 species
CAGUUGCGUAUUCGAAUGUUGUCGAAGCAUAGUAGUAUCCUGAGUAGCGCGGAGCACGAGGAAUUCUGCGUGAAUCUGCCGGGACCAUCCGGUAAGGCUAAAUACUCCCGAGAGACCGAUAGCGAACCAGUACCGUGAGGGAAAGGUGAAAAGCACUUCGAACAGAAGAGUGAAAUAGUUCCUGAAACCGUGCGCCUACAAGCGGUCGGAGCUCGUUAAUGAGUGACGGCGUGCCUUUUGCAUAAUGAACCUACGAGUUGCCUUUGCCGGCAAGGUUAAGUGUGACGACACACGUAUCCGAAGCGAAAGCGAGUCUGAACAGGGCGUAUAGUCGGCAGUGGCAGACGCGAAACCAAGUGAUCUACCCUUGGCCAGGUUGAAGGCUGGGUAACACCAGCUGGAGGACCGCACCAAUAAGCGUUGAAAAGCUUCUGGAUGAGCUGAGGGUAGGGGUGAAAGGCUAAUCAAACUUGGAGAUAGCUCGUACUCCCCGAAAUGCAUUUAGGUGCAGCCUUGCGGGUUACUGAUGUGAGGUAGAGCGACUGAUAAGAUGCGAGGGCUUCACCGCCUAUCAAGUCUUGACAAACUCCGAAUGCGCAUCAGUUCUACCGCAGGAGUGAGGGCAUGGGUGCUAAGGUCCGUGCCCGAGAGGAGAAGAAUCCGGACCACCUGCUAAGGUCCCGAAAUGACAGCUAAGUUAAACUAACGAAGUCUGACUGCUAAGACAGCUAGGAUGUUGGCUUGGAAGCAGCCAUUCAUUUAAAGAGUGCGUAACAGCUCACUAGUCGAGGAGUCGGGCGUGGAUAAUAAUCGGGUAUCAAGUUGUCUACCGAAGCAGUGGGAUCAUUAAUAUGAUCGGUAGGGGAGCAUUCCAGUCAGCGUCGAAGGCGUACCGUGAGGUAUUCUGGAGCGUCUGGAAAAGCAAAUGUAGGUAUAAGUAACGAUAAAGGGGGCGGGAAACCCCCUCGCCGAAAGACUAAGGUUUCCUGAUCAACGCUAAUCGGAUCAGGGUCAGUCGGGUCCUAAGGCUCAGCCGAACGGCGAUGCCGAUGGCAGAAACGGUUAAUAUUCCGUUACUACCUUCAGGAGUGACGUGGAGACGCAGUAGUGACAGUGCCGCCAUCUGACGGAAUAGAUGGUUGAAGGGUGUAGGAGUCGAUCAUGGCAGGCAAAUCCACCAUGAGAUCCGAACCUGAUAGUAUGCCGCGUCCUUCGGGACAAGGCAAUAGUGCGCGUAAGCAUGCUGCCGAGAAAAUCCGCUAAACUUAAUCCUGUAGGUACCCGUACCGCAAACGGACACACGUAGUCGGGAUGAAUAUUCUAAGGCGCUUGAGUGAUUCACGGUUAAGGAACUAGGCAAACUGACCCUGUAACUUCGGGAUAAAGGGUCCCUACCCUUUUAUGGGAGGGCGCAGAGAAUCGGUCCAGGCAACUGUUUAACAAAAACACAGGGCUGUGCCAAAUCGAAAGAUCCAGUAUACAGCCUGACACCUGCCCGGUGCUGGAAGGUUAAGAGGAGAUGUCAUCGAUAAGAGAAGCGUUGAAUUGAAGCCCCAGUAAACGGCGGCCGUAACUAUAACGGUCCUAAGGUAGCGAAAUUCCUUGUCGGGUAAGUUC